GGAGUUAGCCGGUGCUUCUUCUGUGAGUGAUGUCCUUCCUGCCGGCUAUUAACCCGCAGGCCUUCUUCCUCACUGAAAGUGCUUUACAACCCGAAGGCCUUCUUCACACACGCGGCAUGGCUGGAUCAGGGUUGCCCCCAUUGUCCAAUAUUCCCCACUGCUGCCUCCCGUAGGAGUCUGGGCCGUGUCUCAGUCCCAGUGUGGCUGAUCAUCCUCUCAGACCAGCUACGGAUCGUCGCCUUGGUGAGCCGUUACCUCACCAACCAGCUAAUCCGACAUAGGCUCAUCCGAUAGCGCGAGGCCCGAAGGUCCCCCGCUUUCCCCCGUAGGGCGUAUGCGGUAUUAGCCUGGGUUUCCCCAGGUUAUCCCCCACUACCGGGCAGAUUCCUAUGCAUUACUCACCCGUCCGCCGCUCGCCACCAGGGAGCAAGCUCCCCGUGCUGCCGCUCGACUUGCAUGUGUUAGGUCCGUCGCCGCCGACGCGUUCACUCUGAGCCGACGAACGUACGAACCCGUACGA
rnacentral:rRNA from 1 species